rnacentral:tRNA from 1 species
GCCGGAGUGGCGAAAUGGCAGACGCGCGGGACUCAAAAUUCCGUGGGGGCAACUCCGUGUCGGUUCAAGUCCGACCUCCGGCA